UACGUAGGGACCGAGCGUUUGUCCGGAAUUAUUGGGCGUAAAGAGCUCGUAGGCGGUGUGUCACGUCGGCCGUGAAAACCUGCAGCUUAACUGUGGGCGUGCGGUCGAUACGGGCAUCACUGGAGUUCGGCAGGGGAGACUGGAAUUCCUGGUGUAGCGGUGAAAUGCGCAGAUAUCAGGAGGAACACCGGUGGCGAAGGCGGGUCUCUGGGCCGAUACUGACGCUGAGGUGCGAAAGCGUGGGGAGCAAACAGG
rnacentral:rRNA from 1 species